rnacentral:pre_miRNA from 1 species
UAUAUACUCCCUCCGUUCGAAAUUACUUGUCGCAGAAAUGGAUGUAUCUAGAUGUAUUCUAGUUCUAGAUACAUCCAUUUCCGAGACAAGUAAUUCCGAACGGAGGGAGUACAUG